CUUUUGGCGUAUCCCAUCCGCAAGAACGUAACUGUAGCACAGAUUUUCCCAUCGUCAAAAAGCUCAAGAACCUGGUUCCCACUCUCUCUCCUCCGGUUUGUUAGCGAGAUCCAAAACUCGCGGGCGCUGCCCUGAUAGGCGCAAAGCCGCCGCAGGCCGGUCCUCCCCCGCAGGUGCCAGAAGCCAACGAUGUGUUGACGGACUCCAUCAGGCAGGGAUUCACUGCCGGACCUCAUUGAGAUGCUGGUACCGGCCACAUCUCGCUGGCUGCCCCUGGCCCUGCCGGCACCAGCGUUGGUUUCUUGUCGCCGGCCAACGCCGGCUCGCUUCCGGCUGUCUGGCCGCCGGUCGCCAGCAGCUGGUCGCCUGGACGGAUGGACGCCCAGGCCGCUGAUCGUGCCGCGCUCCAGCUUUGCCUGCUGCUCAUCUGCUUGCUGAAGCCGGUGGGCGGUGGGCUGCUGUGGUUUGGAAUUGGCCGAUUCGCUACGACUCCUGCCCAAUCGCAGCUCGUAGCGACGUGCCUUCAUUUGCUCCCACGCUCACUUACUGUCUAAUGAAAUGUCAAUGCAGUGCACAUUUUUUGGUUUGCUAGAUUCUAUUGCCUGUACAGACAUAUAAAUACUAAUUCAAAGUCUUAUAAAUUUUUAUUCCCUUGAUAUCUUUAAUUGAACAUAUGUAACCUGUUCUCACUAAUUAUUCUUAAUGAACAGUCAUCUUUGAAUCAGAAUAACCUUAUAUUUAGAUUGGAUUAUAUCUAAUAAAAAAUUCUCACAAAAUGUCGUAGCAGAACCGGGAAGACAAGAAUACCAAUGAAGCUUAUAUUCAUCACUAGCACGGAAUCGAAACAAUAGAAGCAAAAAGGAAUACAAACAACAAUGGAUUCUAGGCAUUUUGCUAUCUCAGCCAAGUUCCCACAAUUCAGUAACAAGAACAGGACACUGGUGGUCCAGUACUCCAUUAAGUUUGAGCAGGAUAUCAAGUGUGGUGGUGGAUAUAUUAAGCUUAUAUCCUGUUAUGUCAACCAGAAAAAAAUUAGUGGGGACACUCCAUAUAGAUGGAAAUUCGAUCCUCUACAGCUGAGUACAAGUUCCAAUGAGCAGAGUGUCAAACCAGAGACGAAGCAAACAGCUCUAGCGAGCAAUGAAGAUCAGUACUAGAGGUUAAUUUUUUGUGGACAGUAGAAGUCAGAGCAAAUCAGGCAAUUGUUGCUACCAGGAUUUUUCAAAAGUCUCCAGUUCCCCACUGAUGCAUCCGUCUAUGUGCCGACAGUGUUGCCAGAGUAACAGAAGUCAGCUCAGAUCAGCGCAGCUCAUUUCUUUGGACUCUACAGAUAAAGUCACUAUCAGUACAUGUAACUUGGUCCCUUGUUCAUCUAAAUCACUCUGUAUGAAUGUAUACAAAUUAAGUAUCCGUACCUUCAAUCCCCGUCAUAUAGAAUAGUAUUUUAGACAUAUUGUUUUCGUAUAAAAUAGAUCAGAGCAGGAGGAACUUGCAGAGAGUCUUGUGGUUUGGGCAUGAAAGCAUUGGUUGUACACUAGUAUGAAAUAAUGAUCAUCCAGUUUUCGCUCUA